rnacentral:rRNA from 1 species
GACGAACGCUAGCGGCGUGCUUAACACAUGCAAGUCGAACGGUAAGGCCCUUCGGGGUACACGAGUGGCGAACGGGUGAGUAACACGUGGGUGAUCUGCCCUGCACUUCGGGAUAAGCCUGGGAAACUGGGUCUAAUACCGGAUAGGACCAUGGACUUCACGGUUUGUGGUGGAAAGCUUUUGCGGUGUGGGAUGGGCCCGCGGCCUAUCAGCUUGUUGGUGGGGUAAUGGCCUACCAAGGCGACGACGGGUAGCCGGCCUGAGAGGGUGUCCGGCCACACUGGGACUGAGAUACGGCCCAGACUCCUACGGGAGGCAGCAGUGGGGAAUAUUGCACAAUGGGCGCAAGCCUGAUGCAGCGACGCCGCGUGAGGGAUGACGGCCUUCGGGUUGUAAACCUCUUUCAAUAGGACGAAGCGCAAGUGACGGUACCUAUAGAAGAAGCACCGGCCAACUACGUGCCAGCAGCCGCGGUAA